CCUACGGGAGGCAGCAGUGGGGAAUUUUGGACAAUGGGCGAAAGCCUGAUCCAGCAAUGCCGCGUGAGUGAAGAAGGCCUUCGGGUUGUAAAGCUCUUUUGUCAGGGAAGAAACGGUGAGGGCUAAUAUCUCUUGCUAAUGACGGUACCUGAAGAAUAAGCACCGGCUAACUACGUGCCAGCAGCCGCGGUAAUACGUAGGGUGCAAGCGUUAAUCGGAAUUACUGGGCGUAAAGCGUGCGCAGGCGGUUUUGUAAGUCUGUCGUGAAAUCCCCGGGCUCAACCUGGGAAUUGCGAUGGAGACUGCAAGGCUAGAAUCUGGCAGAGGGGGGUAGAAUUCCACGUGUAGCAGUGAAAUGCGUAGAGAUGUGGAGGAACACCGAUGGCGAAGGCAGCCCCCUGGGUCAAGAUUGACGCUCAUGCACGAAAGCGUGGGGAGCAAACAGGAUUAGAUACCCUGGUAGUCCACGCCCUAAACGAUGUCUACUAGUUGUCGGGUUUUAAUUAACUUGGUAACGCAGCUAACGCGUGAAGUAGACCGCCUGGGGAGUACGGUCGCAGAUUAAAACUUCAAAUUGAAUUGAGGCUUGAGACGNGCGAGNGACACGAGGAGAGG
rnacentral:rRNA from 1 species